ensembl:lncRNA
GCAGAGCAAAGACAGGAUCUCAGUGAAUGCAUGAAACACUGUCCUGCAGUCAUGCUUCUUAUCUGUUUAACCUUCAUCGGCAAAGUGUGCACACACAGUAUCAGCUGUUUUAUUCUAUCACGGUUAUUUUGGGGCAUUUUUAUGCGGCUGUUGGAUGGUUGAGCAGUGAUGAAAGACAGGAAAGUGGGGAGAGAGGGGGAAAGACAAAGGACUGCAGGUGUGAGUCAAACCUGCACUGUGGCCACGUGUCACACUGAGCUGAACUGGCGUCCCAGGUAGCUGUAAGUGUAAGCAGGACGUAAAGCUGCCUCCUCUCCUUUUCCAGGCUGAUAAGUUCCACAUAUAUGUGGAUUACUGCAAGAACAAACCAGACUCCAGCCAGCUGAUCCUGGAGCACGCAGGCACCUUCUUUGAUGAGAUUCAGCAGAGACGAGGACUGGCUAACUCAAUCUCCUCCUACCUCAUCAAACCGGUCCAGAGGAUCACCAAGUACCAACUACUGCUAAAGGAGUUAUUGUCCUGCUGCGAGGAGG